UACAGAGGGUGCAAGCGUUAUUCGGAAUUACUGGGCGUAAAGCGUGCGUAGGCGGUUAUUUAAGUCGGAUGUGAAAUCCCCGGGCUCAACCUGGGAAUUGCAUUCGAUACUGGAUAGCUAGAGUUUGGCAGAGGGAAGUGGAAUUUCGGGUGUAGCGGUGAAAUGCGUAGAUAUCCGAAGGAACAUCAGUGGCGAAAGCGACUUCCUGGACCAAAACUGACAAUCAGGCACGAAAGCCUGGGGAGCAAACAGG
rnacentral:rRNA from 1 species